rnacentral:rRNA from 1 species
UACGAAGGGGGCUAGCGUUGCUCGGAAUCACUGGGCGUAAAGAGCGCGCAGGCGGUCGAUUAAGUCGAGUGUGAAAGCCCCCGGCUCAACUGGGGAGGGUCACUUGAUACUGGUCGACUCGAAGGCAGGAGAGGGAAGUGGAAUUCCCGGUGUAGUGGUGAAAUGCGUAGAUAUCGGGAGGAACACCAGUGGCGAAGGCGACUUCCUGGCCUGUUCUUGACGCUGAGGCGCGAAAGCUAGGGGAGCAAACGGG